UAAGGUAGCAUAAUCAUUUGUCUUUUAAUUGAGGGCUUGUAUGAAUGAUUGGACGAGAAAUUUACUUUCUUUAUUUUAAUUUAUGAAUUUGAUUUUUUAGUUAAAAUGCUAAGAUUUUGUUGUGGGACGAGAAGACCCUAUAGAAUUUUAUUAUUUUAUUAAUUAUUUAAUUUAUUUUAUUCAUUAUUUAAUUAUUUGGAAUAUUUUAAUUGGGGUGAUUAUGAAAUUUAAAAAACUUUUAUUUAUUAUUUUUUCAAUUAUUAUUGUUUUUUAUGAUCCUAUUUUAUGGAUUAGAAGAUUAAAUUACCUUAGGGAUAACAGCGUAAUUUUUUUGGAGAGUUCUUAUCGAUAAAAUAAGUUUGCGACCUCGAUGUUGGAUUAAAGUAAUUUUUGGUGUAGGUGCUAAAAUGUUUAAGUCUGUUCGACUUUUAA
rnacentral:rRNA from 1 species